GAUAAACGCUGGCGGCAUGCCUAAUACAUGCAAGUCGAACGAAUUUACCUUCGGGUAAGUUAGUGGCGAACGGGUGAGGAACACGUAAGAAACUUGCCCCAAAGUCGAGGAUAACCAUUGGAAACGAUGGCUAAUACUGGAUAGGAUAUAGAAUCGCAUGGUUCUAUAUUUAAAGGUGCUCUAAAGCACCGCUGUGGGAUAGUCUUGCGCUGCAUUAGCUAGUUGGUAGGGUAACGGCCUACCAAGGCGACGAUGCAUAGCUGGUCUGAGAGGAUGAACAGCCACACUGGGACUGAGACACGGCCCAGACUCCUACGGGAGGCAGCAGUAGGGAAUUUUCGGCAAUGGGCGAAAGCCUGACCGAGCAAUGCCGCGUGAAUGAUGAAGGUCUUCGGAUCGUAAAGUUCUGUUGUUAAGGAAGAACAAAUAGUCCAGGAAAUGGGAUUAUUCUGACGGUACUUAACCAGAAAGCUCCGGCUAACUACGUGCCAGCAGCCG
rnacentral:rRNA from 1 species